UACAGGGGGGGCAAGCGUUGUUCGGAAUUACUGGGCGUAAAGGGCUCGUAGGCGGCCAACUAAGUCACACGUGAAAUCCCCAGGCUUAACCUGGGAACUGCGUGUGAUACUGGAUGGCUUGAAUCCGGGAGAGGGAUGCGGAAUUCCAGGUGUAGCGGUGAAAUGCGUAGAUAUCUGGAGGAACACCGGUGGCGAAGGCGGCGAUCCUGGAC
rnacentral:rRNA from 1 species